AAGCAGGGGAUCGUAAGACCUUGCGCUUUUGGAGUGGCCGAUGCCUGAUUAGCUAGUUGGUGGGGUAAGGGCCUACCAAGGCAACGAUCAGUAGUUGGUCUGAGAGGACGACCAGCCACACUGGGACUGAGACACGGCCCAGACUCCUACGGGAGGCAGCAGUGGGGAAUUUUGGACAAUGGGCGGAAGCCUGAUCCAGCAAUGCCGCGUGAGUGAAGAAGGCCUUCGGGUUGUAAAGCUCUUUCAGUCGGGAAGAAAAGGUUGUGACUAAUAAUCGCAAUUUAUGACGGUACCGACAGAAGAAGCACCGGCUAACUACGUGCCAGCAGCCGCGGUAAUACGUAGGGUGCGAGCGUUAAUCGGAAUUACUGGGCGUAAAGGGUGCGCAGGCGGCUCUGUAAGUCAGAUGUGAAAUCCCCGGGCUUAACCUGGGAAUUGCGUUUGAAACUACAAGACUAGAGU
rnacentral:rRNA from 1 species